rnacentral:rRNA from 1 species
AUACGUAGGUGGCAAGCGUUGUCCGGAAUUAUUGGGCGUAAAGCGCGCGCAGGUGGUUCCUUAAGUCUGAUGUGAAAGCCCCCGGCUCAACCGGGGAGGGUCAUUGGAAACUGGGGAACUUGAGUGCAGAAGAGGAUAGUGGAAUUCCAAGUGUAGCGGUGAAAUGCGUAGAGAUUUGGAGGAACACCAGUGGCGAAGGCGACUGUCUGGUCUGUAACUGACACUGAGGCGCGAAAGCGUGGGGAGCAAACAGGAUUAGAUACCCUGGUAGUCCACGCCGUAAACGAUGAGUGCUAAGUGUUGGGGGGUUUCCGCCCCUCAGUGCUGCAGCUAACGCAUUAAGCACUCCGCCUGGGGAGUAUGGUCGCAAGACUGAAACUCAAAUGAAUUGGCGGGG